UACGGAGGGGGCUAGCGUUAUUCGGAAUUAUUGGGCGUAAAGAGCGUGUAGGCGGCCAGGUAGGUCUGCUGUGAAAACUCGAGGCUCAACCUCGAGACGUCGGCGGAAACCAUCUGGCUAGAGUCCGGAAGAGGAGAGUGGAAUUCCUGGUGUAGCGGUGAAAUGCGCAGAUAUCAGGAAGAACACCCGUGGCGAAGGCGGCUCUCUGGGACGGUACUGACGCUGAGACGCGAAAAGCGUGGGGAGCGAACAGG
rnacentral:rRNA from 1 species